rnacentral:rRNA from 1 species
GGGGGGGGGGGCUAUACAUGCAAGUCGAGCGGACGGAUGGGAGCUUGCUCCCUGAAGUCAGCGGCGGAUGGUUAGUAACACGUGGGCAACCUGCCUGUAAGACUGGGAUAACUCCGGGAAACCGGGGCUAAUACCGGAUAACUCUUUUCCUCACAUGAGGAAAAGCUGAAAGAUGGUUUCGGCUAUCACUUACAGAUGGGCCCGCGGCGCAUUAGCUAGUUGGUGAGGUAACGGCUCACCAAGGCCACGAUGCGUAGCCGACCUGAGAGGGUGAUCGGCCACACUGGGACUGAGACACGGCCCAGACUCCUACGGGAGGCAGCAGUAGGGAAUCUUCCGCAAUGGACGAAAGUCUGACGGAGCAACGCCGCGUGAGUGAUGAGGGUUUUCGGAUCGAAAAACUCUGUUGUCAGGGAAGAACAAGUACCAGAGCACCUGCCCAGGGGCGUGGCGGGCACUUGACCAGAAAUUAAAGGCUAAAGCACGUGACAGCAGCACUGGAAAGGGGUAAUUCUACAGAAAUGGCAUCGGACUGGUGGGCCGGGGCGGGCAUGCAUGGGGAAGGCUCAAUCUGACCUAUAGUGGGUCGCAUCUCCCUUCACUGUUCGUCAUUUUAUGACGACGCGGGAUGCCAAAAACAUGAUGUUACCCACCUACAUCGCCUUGCAACAUAACACCCCCUUCACCAAAUUGUGGUAAUACCGGAGAGGCCCGCAACGUUCCGCCUUUCUAACUAUUUUUGCUGGCUCUAUGGGGGAAGGGAUGCGACCUGUAAAAACCCAUUAAACGCGGGGCCUGAAGGCGGGUAAAGCGCAGCGUGACCAGAAUGCUUGCCCCCACCCGACCGUCCGCUUCUUUCUCUUUUCUUUCCAUCCUUUUUCGCCCCGUUUCCCCAGCUAUCCUCGAAGAGUUCUAAACCGUCGGCUCCCUAUAUGGGUGCGAAUUCGUGCCUUUCCGGCAACAAAACCACAAAAAACUGAUUAGGGCGAAGGGUCCCCUAAUUGGGGCAAGCGCGUGAUUAGCCCGUGUUUCCCGCUUUGAGUUGGAAAACCACGGUCCUCUUUGACGAGAAUGUUAGUUCCAAACUGGA